CCUACGGGGGGCUGCAGUGGGGAAUAUUGGACAAUGGGGGCAACCCUGAUCCAGCCAUGCCGCGUGUGUGAAGAAGGCCCUCGGGUUGUAAAGCACUUUCAGUGAGGAAGAACGCCUGGUGGUUAAUACCCAUCAGGAAAGACAUCACUCACAGAAGAAGCACCGGCUAACUCCGUGCCAGCAGCCGCGGUAAUACGGAGGGUGCGAGCGUUAAUCGGAAUUACUGGGCGUAAAGCGCGCGUAGGUGGCUUGAUAAGCCGGUUGUGAAAGCCCCGGGCUCAACCUGGGAACGGCAUCCGGAACUGUCAAGCUAGAGUGCAGAAGAGGAAGGUAGAAUUCCCGGUGUAGCGGUGAAAUGCGUAGAGAUCGGGAGGAAUACCAGUGGCGAAGGCGGCCUUCUGGACUGACACUGACACUGAGGUGCGAAAGCGUGGGUAGCAAACAGGAUUAGAUACCCGAGUAGUC
rnacentral:rRNA from 1 species